AACUAUUACAGUCGAUGAGGAUCGGCUACAGUUAACUCAUCCGUUUCAGCAUUGCACUGGCUAAUCACCUGUGCUACCUCAGGCUUCGGCUUGGGCGCUGUGGAUUGCGUCGUGGCUCCAAGCAUCACCUAAAUAGCGACGCUAAUACAAUACAGUCUGAGGCUG
rnacentral:snoRNA from 1 species